GAGUUUGAUCAUGGCUCAGAUUGAACGCUGGCGGCAUGCCUUACACAUACAAGUCGAACGGCAGCGCGGACUUCGGUCUGGCGGCGAGUGGCGAACGGGUGAGUAAUACAUCGGAACGUACCCUGUUGUGGGGGAUAACUAGUCGAAAGAUUAGCUAAUACCGCAUACGACCUGAGGGUGAAAGUGGGGGACCGCAAGGCCUCACGCAGCAGGAGCGGCCGAUGUCUGAUUAGCUAGUUGGUGGGGUAAAGGCCCACCAAGGCGACGAUCAGUAGCUGGUCUGAGAGGACGAUCAGCCACACUGGGACUGAGACACGGCCCAGACUCCUACGGGAGGCAGCAGUGGGGAAUUUUGGACAAUGGGGGCAACCCUGAUCCAGCAAUGCCGCGUGUAUGAAGAAGGCCUUCGGGUUGUAAAGCACUUUUGUCCGGAAAGAAAUCGCGCUGGUUAAUACCUGGCGUGGAUGACGGUACCGGAAGAAUAAGCACCGGCUAACUACGUGCCAGCAGCCGCGGUAA
rnacentral:rRNA from 1 species